GUUGUGUUUCUCUACUCUCAGGUGGUGAGCCAGGGAGGAGUCCAAUUCCAAGAAGGCAGCUUGAUUGGCUGAUUUAAAACGUUUGGGUGGAUCUCUUCCACUCGCUGUCUGUUUUUUUCUUCCUCUUAGGGGGAUUUUUUUGACACUCCGUCCUGCCGUACGUGAAGAACAACUCCUAGCACCUGUUUGCUACCUCGUCCCUCAUCCUUGAUGUCCUGCACACCAUGGAAGCAUGACGGAAUGUGCCAACUUGAUUCAGACAGCCAACGCAUGGUUUCAACCACUGCCUCACGCUGCACUGCUGCCAGGCACCGACCACUGCAAUGGCGCCCCCUGGAGUCCGUUCAAUCCAAUCCACUUUAUCUCUACAGCACAUUUCAAAACACAGUAGAAGCUGACAGCAGCACAGCCAGGCCCCGCCCCUAGCAACCAAUCACAAGCGCCCGCCAUGGAAACCGCGGCCCCCAGGACGUCUCUGAUUGGCUGCCGCUGGCUGUCCGUCAACGCGUCGCUAGGGGCGCACCGCGGUCCAAGGGCAGGACACCUGCUAUGGAGGGAUGCUGAAUGCAUGCCCUGCUCACUAUUGUCUGACUUCUUUCCUCGAACCCUUUUUUUUCACGCAAUAUUGUUAAUAAGAUGAACUUUUUAUUGCUAUACACUGUAAAAAAAAAUAAAAAAAA